rnacentral:rRNA from 1 species
AGUGAACGCUGGCGGUAGGCCUAACACAUGCAAGUCGAACGGCAGCACAGUAAGAGCUUGCUCUUACGGGUGGCGAGUGGCGGACGGGUGAGGAAUACAUCGGAAUCUACUUUUUCGUGGGGGAUAACGUAGGGAAACUUACGCUAAUACCGCAUACGACCUACGGGUGAAAGCAGGGGAUCUUCGGACCUUGCGCGAUUGAAUGAGCCGAUGUCGGAUUAGCUAGUUGGCGGGGUAAAGGCCCACCAAGGCGACGAUCCGUAGCUGGUCUGAGAGGAUGAUCAGCCACACUGGAACUGAGACACGGUCCAGACUCCUACGGGAGGCAGCAGUGGGGAAUAUUGGACAAAGGGCGCAAGCCUGAUCCGGCCAUACCGCGUGGGUGAAGAAGGCCUUCGGGUUGUAAAGCCCUUUUGUUGGGAAAGAAAAGCAGCAGGUUAAUACCCCGCUGUUCUGACGGUACCCAAAGAUUAAGCACCGGCUAACUUCGUG